rnacentral:rRNA from 1 species
CCUACGGGAGGCAGCAGUGAGGAAUAUUGGUCAAUGGACGAGAGUCUGAACCAGCCAAGUAGCGUGAAGGAUGACUGCCCUAUGGGUUGUAAACUUCUUUUAUAUGGGAAUAAAACAGGGUAUGCAUACCCUCUUUUAUGUACCAUAUGACUAAGGAUCGGCUAACUCCGUGCCAGCAGCCGCGGUAAUACGGAGGAUCCGAGCGUUAUCCGGAUUUAUUGGGUUUAAAGGGAGCGUAGGUGGAUUGUUAAGUCAGUUGUGAAAGUUUGCGGCUCAACCGUAAAAUUGCAGUUGAAACUGGCAGUCUUGAGUACAGUAGAGGUGGGCGGAAUUCGUGGUGUAGCGGUGAAAUGCUUAGAUAUCACGAAGAACUCCGAUUGCGAAGGCAGCUCACUGGACUGCAACUGACACUGAUGCUCGAAAGUGUGGGUAUCAAACAGGAUUAGAUACCCUUGUAGUC